ensembl:lncRNA
UUAGUUCUCCAGGCCCUGAACACAUGCAACGGUUUACUUGUUGGCAACGCAGCGAGGAGAGGCAGCGGUUUGCUUGUUCRUGAGGCAGCGGAGAAAUGCAGUGGUUUGCUUGAUGGCGAGGCAGUGAACAGAGAGAGUGGUUCGCUUGUUUGCGGAGUAGGGAAGAUUCGCCGUGGUUGGCUUUUUUGUGAGUGGGCGAAUAGACGCAGUGAUGUGCUUUUCUGCGAGGCAGCGAAGAGGCACAGCGGUUUGUUUGUUCGCCAGGCAGUGGACAGAUUAGGCAGUCUCCUUGUUUGUGAGACAGCCAACAUCCACAGUGGUCACUCUUUCUGCGAGGCAGCGAACAGACGCAGCAGUCUGCUGCUUUGUGAGACAGCGAACAUCCACAGUGGUUAUUUAUUCUGCGAGGUAGUGAAUCACUGCAUAGCAAAUCGCUUCAUCCCUGUACUGCCUCGCCACCUAGCAAAGCGUCAUCUCCCUUCACCACUUAGCAAAUCUCCGCGUCCUGUCGCCACCAAGCAAUGCACUGCGUACCUUUGUCACCUAUCAAAGAACUGCAUGUGUUUGCUGCUUCCCCACCAAACAAUGCACCUUGUUCCUUCACCACCUAGUAAGCCAAAGCAUCCCUUCACCGCCUCGCCACCUAGCAAAGCUCCGCGUCCCUCCCCCGCAUCGGCUUGUCAGCGCCCCGCCGCCUAGCACACCCCUGCGUACCUUUUCUCCCUCGUCGCGUAGCAGAGCACUGCGUGCCUUCAUGGCCUAGCAAAGCACCGUGUUUCUUCGCCGCCUAGAAAAGCGAUGUGUCCCUUUGCAGCCUUGCCACCUAGCAAAGCACUGCGUGCCUUCACCUCCUCGCCCAGAUGCAAAGCAUCGUGUCACCUUGCCGCCUAGCAAAGUGCCGUGUCCCUUUGCCGCCUGGCAAAGCACUGUGUGCCUUCGCCGCCUCGACGCCUAGCAAAGUGCCCUGUCCCUUCGCCGAAUGACACGUACCAAAGCACAGUGUCCCUUCGCUGCCUCCCAAAUCGCUUCGUCACUUCGCCGCCUUGCCGCCUAGCAAAGCGUCUUUUCCCUUCACUGCCUAGCAAAGCUCCCCGUCCUGUCACUGCCAGGCAAAGCGUUGUGUCCCCUUGCUGCAUUGUUUCGCCGGCGCCUUGCCGCCUAGCACACCGCUGUGUCCCUUUUCCCCUCUCCGCCUGGCAAAGCAUUGAGUCCCUUCACUGCCUACCAAAUCAAUGCGUGCUUCCGCCGCCUAGCCAGCUAGUAAAGCACUGCAUGUUGCUUCCUCGCCUAGCAAAGCACUGACGUGGGUGUGAAAUGGAAAUUCAAACGUGACGUGGGUGUGACGUGGAUAAUUGGAACAUGAUGUUGGUGUGACAUGAGUGGUUUGAAAGUGACGUGGGUGUGCCACCCUGCUUCAAAGGCUCCCGCACCAAGCAGCGCUCAGAGGCAAGAGCCCUGGGAAGGCAGAGCUUGCCUCCGCAUGCCUAGGGCAGCCCCACCACGAGUGCCCGGCUCCCUUGCCUCCCCUCCCCAAGCCUACACCAGCUCUCCUCACCCCUUGGCACUAGCACUGAGAGGCUGUUGCAAGGGAGGAGCAUGGUUGUUCCAAAUGUGGUUCGGAGGUGAGGUGGGCGUGACGUGGGAGAUUCGAACGUGACAUGGGUGUGACGUGGGAGAUUCGAACCUGACGUGGGAGAUU